AUUCCAUGAUGAGGGCACUUUCAUAAUAAAUUUUUGUACCUUUCCCAUGCCUCAUACAGGGACUCAUCAUCCAUUUGUUGGAAGGAAGUGAUCUCAUUCCUCAACUU
rfam:Gossypium raimondii chromosome 4, whole genome shotgun sequence.